AUUGAACGCUGGCGGCAUGCCUUACACAUGCAAGUCGAACGGCAGCACGGGAGCAAUCCUGGUGGCGAGUGGCGAACGGGUGAGUAAUGCAUCGGAACGUACCCGGAAGUGGGGGAUGACGUAGCGAAAGUUACGCUAAUACCGCAUAUUCUGUGAGCAGGAAAGCGGGGGAUCUUCGGACCUCGUGCUUUCGGAGCGGCCGAUGUCGGAUUAGCUAGUUGGUGGGGUAAAGGCCUACCAAGGCGACGAUCCGUAGCAGGUCUGAGAGGAUGAUCUGCCACACUGGGACUGAGACACGGCCCAGACUCCUACGGGAGGCAGCAGUGGGGAAUUUUGGACAAUGGGCGCAAGCCUGAUCCAGCCAUGCCGCGUGAGUGAAGAAGGCCUUCGGGUUGUAAAGCUCUUUUGUCAGGGAAGAAAUGGUUUGGGCUAAUACCCUGAAUCGAUGACGGUACCUGAAGAAUAAGCACCGGCUAACUACGUGCCAGCAGCCGCAGUAACAC
rnacentral:rRNA from 1 species